AUUGAACGCUGGCGGCAGGCCUAACACAUGCAAGUCGAGCGGAUGAAGGGAGCUUGCUCCUGGAUUCAGCGGCGGACGGGUGAGUAAUGCCUGGGAAUCUGCCUGGUAGUGGGGGAUAACGUCCGGAAACGGGCGCUAAUACCGCAUACGUCCUGAGGGAGAAAGUGGGGGAUCUUCGGGCCUCACGCUAUCAGAUGAGCCUAGGUCGGAUUAGCUAGUUGGUGGGGUAAAGGCCUACCAAGGCGACGAUCCGUAACUGGUCUGAGAGGAUGAUCAGUCACACUGGAACUGAGACACGGUCCAGACUCCUACGGGAGGCAGCAGUGGGGAAUAUUGGACAAUGGGCGAAAGCCUGAUCCAGCCAUGCCGCGUGUGUGAAGAAGGUCUUCGGAUUGUAAAGCACUUUAAGUUGGGAGGAAGGGCAGUAAGUUAAUACCUUGCUGUUUUGACGUUACCAACAGAAUAAGCACCGGCUAACUUCGUG
rnacentral:rRNA from 1 species